AAUCCCGGCGGGAACCCCGGCUGCGGAAGGCGGCUGCGGCCGGCGGGAGCCGAGGGGAAGAAUGGAGCGCUGAGGAAGCGAGGCGCCAGCCCCAGCCGCUUCGCUGCCGCGGAGCCUGCACGACCGAGAGGUCGCGGAGAGAAGCCAGAGACAGGCCAGCGACCUGGCGAGAGAGAAGAUCUAGCUAUGUUACCCAGGCUGGAUUUGACCUCCUGGGCUCAAGGGAUCCUCCUACCUCAGCCCCCCACACAGCAGGGACUACAGCUGCACACCACUACCCAGCUCCCUUCUUCAUGUCUUACCUGUCCUUAUUAUCACAGUGAAUAAUGCCUAAUCUAUUAGUGAAUAAUGCCUAAUCUAUUAAGAGCUAUGUGAAAAACCUAAACUCUUUCCAUUUGCAACCCUUUUGGUAUGGUCAAGUCAGUGGAUCUGGCUAUCAUACAAACUCAAAUCAACUACUACAAAUUCAGAUUGGCUAAGCAGAUUCCAGCCAUUUUAAAAGCUUGUCUCUGCUCUAUCCUGUAUCUUUCUGCAUUUACAUGUAACUUCACUGUGGGUGUCCUUACAGUAUAUAUUUUUAUGAGACAUCAAACUUACUAAGAGUACUUUAUAGCAUAGUAUUUAGGAACUUAGGGGUCAGAAUUAAGACAUUGUUACUAUGUCACCUUGAGUAUUUUGUUUAACUUCACAACCCUUCAGUUUCCUGAUCAGUUAAAUAAUUAUGAUAAUACAAGACAUAGUAGCAUCACAGGAUUAUUAUGGGGCCUAAAUAGAUAAUGUAUAUAAAGUAUUUAUCACAGUGCCUGGUACAGAUGUUAGCUUCUGUUACUACUCUGAUUCUAGCCUCCCUAAUUCUCAUUCUUUUUUGGGGGUUGCAGGGGAGUUCACUGUGCUGUUUGCUAUAUUUCAAGCCUCAAAAGACAAUGAAGUUCCCAAAUGCUCUUCAAGGCAGAACAAAUAUAAAUAAUGAUUCUCACACCAAAUGUGUGCAAAGUUCAAAUAUUGCAUUAAUGGUGCUUUUUAUUGUGCAAAUCAUACGACUAACCCAUCAUGUCCUUUCUGUGUCAGGAAGAACAUGGAUGGGAAUAGAAGGAUCUUUGAAAUCCUACCCUCUGUGUAAAUCAGUAUCUGUGAAUUUUUCUCUUGUUAGUACUGAUUUAUUUACUCUUUCUGGUGUAUCUGCUCUUUCCCUUAAAACCUUUAUGAUAAAAACAUAUUUGAAUGCCCA
ensembl:lncRNA DOCK7-DT DOCK7 divergent transcript